CCUACGGGUGGCAGCAGUCGAGAAUCAUUCACAAUGGGGGAAACCCUGAUGGUGCGACGCCGCGUGGGGGAAUGAAGGUCUUCGGAUUGUAAACCCCUGUCAUGUGGGAGCAAAUUAAAAAGAUCGUACCACAAGAGGAAGAGACGGCUAACUCUGUGCCAGCAGCCGCGGUAAUACAGCGGUCUCAAGCGUUGUUCGGAAUCACUGGGCGUAAAGCGUGCGUAGGCUGUUUCGUAAGGCGUGUGUGAAAGGCGCGGGCUCAACCCGCGGACUGCACAUGAUACUGCGAGACUAGAGUAAUGGAGGGGGAACCGGAAUGCUCGGUGUAGCAGUGAAAUGCGUAGAUAUCGAGAGGAACACUCGUGGCGAAGGCGGGUUCCUGGACAUUAACUGACGCUGAGGCACGAAGGCCAGGGGAGCGAAAAGGAUUAGAUACCCUUGUAGUC
rnacentral:rRNA from 1 species